GCGAGUGAAGAGGGAAGAGCCCAAGAUUGAAAGCUGGCGUCUUCGGCGUCCGCAUUGUAAUCUCAAGAAGUGUUUUCCGCUUCGGACCAUGCCUAAGUCCCUUGGAAAAGGGCAUCAUAGAGGGUGAUAAUCCCGUACAUGGCAUGGAGCGCCCGAAGCUUUGUGAUACGCUUUCUAAGAGUCGAGUUGUUUGGGAAUGCAGCUCAAAAUGGGUGGUAAAUGCCAUCUAAGGCUAAAUAUUGGGGAGAGACCGAUAGCGAACAAGUACAGUGAUGGAAAGAUGAAAAGAACUUUGAAAAGAGAGUUAAACAGUACGUGAAAUUGCCAAAAGGGAAGGGUAGGAGGUCAGAGAUGCGGCCUGGGAUUCAGCCUUGCUUUUGCUUGGUGUUUUUCCCAGAUUGCAGGCCAACGUCGGUUUUGGGCACUGGAGAAGGGUAGGAGGAACGUGGCACCUCUCGGGGUGUGUUAUAGCCUCCUACUGGAUACAGCGACCGAGACCGAGGACAGCAGCGUACUCGCAAGAGCGGGCCUUCGGGCACCUUUACGCUUAGGGCGUUGGCAUAAUGGCCCUCUACCACCCGUCU
rnacentral:rRNA from 1 species